rnacentral:ncRNA from 1 species
AUAAAGCCUGUCUCAGUUCGGACUUGGAGUCUGCAACCCGACUCCAUGAAGCUGGAAUCGCUAGUAAUCGGAUGAUCAGCCAUGAUCCGGUGAAUGACGUUGCCCGGGCCUUGUACACGACCGCCCGUCAAGCCAUGGAAGCUGGGGGUACCUGAAAGUCGGUGACCGCAAGGAGACUGCCUAGGGUAAAACUGGUAACUGGGGCUAAGUCGUAACAAGGUAGCCGUACCGGAAGGUGCGGCUGGAACACCUCCUUU